GACGUAGGGUGCGAGCGUUGUCCGGAUUAUUGGCGUAAAGAGCUCGUAGGCGGUCUGUCGCGUCUGCUGUGAAAUCCGAGGCUCAACCUCGGGCUUGCAGUGGGUACGGGCAGGCUAGAGUGCGGUAGGGGAGAAUGGAACUCCUGGUGUAGCGGUGGAAUGCGCAGAUAUCAGGAAGAACACCGAUGGCGAAGGCAGUUCUCUGGCCGUAACUGACGCUGAGGAGCGAAAGCGUGGGGAGCGAACAGG
rnacentral:rRNA from 1 species